GGCUGGUUAGCUCAGUCAGUUGAGCGUGGUGCUGACAAUGCCAAGGUCGCGGGUUUGAUUUCCGUUCGGUCC
rnacentral:tRNA from 1 species